rnacentral:rRNA from 1 species
AUGAACGCUGGCGGCGUGCUUAACACAUGCAAGUCGAACGGAGCACCCCUGACGGAGUUUUCGGACAACGAAAGGGAAUGCUUAGUGGCGGACGGGUGAGUAACGCGUGAGUAACCUGCCUUGGAGUGGGGAAUAACAGCCGGAAACGGCUGCUAAUACCGCAUGAUGUAUCUGGAUCGCAUGGUUCUGGAUACCAAAGAUUUAUCGCUCUGAGAUGGACUCGCGUCUGAUUAGCUAGUUGGUGAGGUAAUGGCUCACCAAGGCGACGAUCAGUAGCCGGACUGAGAGGUUGGCCGGCCACAUUGGGACUGAGACACGGCCCAGACUCCUACGGGAGGCAGCAGUGGGGAAUAUUGGGCAAUGGGCGAAAGCCUGACCCAGCAACGCCGCGUGAAGGAAGAAGGCCCUCGGGUUGUAAACUUCUUUUGUCAGGGACGAAGCAAGUGACGGUACCUGACGAAUAAGCCACGGCUAACUACGUGCCAGCAGCCGCGGUAAUACGUAGGUGGCAAGCGUUAUCCGGAUUUACUGGGUGUAAAGGGCGUGUAGGCGGGAGUGCAAGUCAGAUGUGAAAACUAUGGGCUCAACCCAUAGCCUGCAUUUGAAACUGUACUUCUUGAGUGAUGGAGAGGCAGGCGGAAUUCCCUGUGUAGCGGUGAAAUGCGUAGAUAUAGGGAGGAACACCAGUGGCGAAGGCGGCCUGCUGGACAUUAACUGACGCUGAGGCGCGAAAGCGUGGGGAGCAAACAGGAUUAGAUACCCUGGUAGUCCACGCCGUAAACGAUGGAUACUAGGUGUGGGGGGUCUGACCCCCUCCGUGCCGCAGUUAACACAAUAAGUAUCCCACCUGGGGAGUACGAUCGCAAGGUUGAAACUCAAAGGAAUUGACGGGGGCCCGCACAAGCGGUGGAGUAUGUGGUUUAAUUCGAAGCAACGCGAAGAACCUUACCAGGACUUGACAUCCUACUAACGAAGCAGAGAUGCAUAAGGUGCCCUUCGGGGAAAGUAGAGACAGGUGGUGCAUGGUUGUCGUCAGCUCGUGUCGUGAGAUGUUGGGUUAAGUCCCGCAACGAGCGCAACCCUUAUUGUUAGUUGCUACGCAAGAGCACUCUAGCGAGACUGCCGUUGACAAAACGGAGGAAGGUGGGGACGACGUCAAAUCAUCAUGCCCCUUAUGUCCUGGGCCACACACGUACUACAAUGGCGGUCAACAGAGGGAAGCAAAGCCGCGAGGUGGAGCAAAUCCCUAAAAGCCGUCCCAGUUCGGAUUGCAGGCUGAAACUCGCCUGUAUGAAGUCGGAAUCGCUAGUAAUCGCGGAUCAGCAUGCCGCGGUGGAUACGUUCCCGGGCCUUGUACACACCGCCCGUCACACCAUGAGAGUCGGGAACACCCGAAGUCCGUAGCCUAACAGCAAUGGGGGCGCGGCCGAAGGUGGGUUCGAUAAUUGGGGUG